rnacentral:rRNA from 1 species
UUGCAGGCUGCAACUCGCCUGCAUGAAGUUGGAAAUUGCUAGUAAUCGCGAAUCAGAAUGCCGCGGUGAAUACGUUCCCGGGCCUUGUACACACCGCCCGUCACACCAUGGAGUUGGAAGCACCCGAAGUCGAUGACCUAACCGCGAGGGAGGAGUCGCCGAAGGUGAAGCCAGUGACUGGGGUGAAGUCGUAACAAGGUAUC